GAUGAUGAAAGGCAUGUAGAGUUUGAGCUCACUCCCAGCAGGGAAGACCAGUUUGAGUUUUUUUCCUGCUUCUAGGGUGGUAGAAAGCAGCCUUCAGCCUGAGACCCAUCCCUAGGUAAGUAGCUGAACUGGGGCUUUGUCUGGGCUAAAGUUUAACAACCAGCUAGCUGCUCUUAAUUUCUCCUUAUCAUUAGAGUGCUUGGUAAUCCUAUGGUUGGAGAUUUUGUUGUUUGUUUUGGUCUUUCUCCCAUCAGACUUGACCAACUCUACCUGACUUGGUCAAAUCCAAGUGAGAAUUCAAAAUUACGGGUAACAAAACCUCUCUAAUUUGGCUAAAAUUCAUUGCAGCUGCAAAAGAAGAAAACAAACAAAAAGAACCAAAAACCCAUGCACUUGGUUUCUGUGUUUGCUUCCUGUCUUAAAACACGAAUGUUCUUUCGUUUACUUUUCUUGCACCAUAUACCUCCUCCCCCUUUGCCAUAUGCAGUACCAAAAAGUCUAGAGAAGGCUUCUAAUGACUUGAACCCCCUUAAAGAAUUCAGAACAAAGGUUGCCACUCACCCCUUUUGGGGUGUUUUGUUUUCUUUGUGGAGUUUCAAGAGUCAUGGGUAGAUUCUUCUUAACUCUAAACCUCUAUUUUCCUGUAUUGCAUGACCUGACCUCUUUGGCUUUGACCUUGUUGUGUAUAGUGGUAGAUGAGAGCUACAAAGUUAAGGGGUGGCUGAGCAAGGUUUACAAAAAGUGGUCUUGGCUGUUGUUUUGUUUUCCUUCUAGGAAUUUGUCGUUUAAAGAUCCUAAUUCUAGUUCACAAAUGCAUUCUAAAGGAUCUUCUCUGUUGCUUUUUCUCCCCAAAUUAAGCUCAAUUCAGCUUGUCUGUGUGCAUUUGCAUGAGGAACUGAACUGUUGUUUUCAGUGGUGACCCACUGUGGAGUCCUGCCCACAAAUGGCACAUAUUGAUCCACCACAGAAAACCUCUAGGCCUCAGCUCAGUUCCUCUUUUUAAGAAGAAAACUGGGAAACAAAUAAUCUAAGAAUGAGGAGAAAGCAAAGAGAAUGAUUCCCUUUCAAGCACUCCAUAGGUUUUAUGGCACCUGUACUUGCCAGAGUUUAAGUAAAAUGGAAGUAAUAUGGUCUUUGUGCAUAUUUACAUUAAGAAAGAAAGGGCCCAUGUAAAUUAGUUCAACCAUUGUGGAAGACAGUAUGGUGAUUCCUCAAGGAUCUAGAAUCAGAAAUACCAUUUGAUCCAGCAAUCCCAUUACUUGUUAUAUACCCAAAGGAAUACAAAUCAUUCUACUAUAAAGACACAGGCACAUGUAUGUUUAUUGCAGCACUAUUUACAAGAGCAAAGACAUGGAACUAACCCAAACGCCCAUCAAUUAUAGACUUGAUAAAGAAAAUGUGGUACAUAUACACCAUGGAAUACGAUGCAGCCAUAAAACGGAGUGAGAUCAUGUCCUUUGUAGGGACAUGGAUGAAGCUGGAAACCAUCAUCCUCAGCAAACUAACACAGAAACAGAAUACCAAAUACAACAUGUUCUCACUCAUAUAUGGGAGUUGAACUUUGAGAACACAUGGACACAGAGAGGAGAGCAACACAUAUCAGGGGCUGUUGGGGGGUGGGGAAUGAGAGGAGGGAAUUUAGAGGAUGGGUCAAUAGGUGCAGCAAACCACCAAGGCACACAUAUACCUAUGUAACAAACCUGCACGUUCUCCUGCAUGUGUAUUUCAUUUUUUUUUAGAAGAGAAAGAAAAGAAGGAAAGAAAGCAAGCAAGCAAGAAAGCAAGCAAGCAAGAAAGAAAGAAAGAAAGAAAGAAAGAAAGAAAGAAAGAAAGAAAGAAAGAAAGAAAGAAAAGAAAAAGAAAGAAAAGAAGAGCCUUAAGGUCAACCUACAAACUACAGAGUUCCUAAGUUCUCUUUUUUCUCUAUUUUCUUUUCUGCCUGCUUUAAAUCUGCUGUUAUUUUUCUAUUAAGAUCAAAACCACUGUUUGGAUACAACAGGCUUUUUGUUUGCAACCUGGUGAAUUUGUAUUUGUCUCAUGGCUAAAGUUCUGAAGUAAAAGCUAUAGGAUUUCUGUGUGUGUGUUUGUGUGUGUGUGUGUGUGUGUGUGUGUAUCUAUUUAAAAGGCCUUUAUAAUUUUUAUAAUUUUAUGUUUAAUUGGCAAUUAAAUCCAUUUUGACUUCCCUCUAGCACCACCAGACUUUUUCUCUCUGUACCUUAUGAUAUAAUUUUGCUAUUUGAUUUUUGCCUGAGUUGUUUCCUUUAACAUGCAAACUUAAGGCUAUUUAGCUGACAACUCCCUAGGGGAGUAAAACAGGUUAUUAAGAAUUUGAAAGCCUAAGAUAGGGGAAAAAAGCUCCUUAAGUAUCUAUACGAUGUACUUCUAUCAGCAUGCCUACUAUGUCUAUAUAUUUAUGUGAUGUGUACACAAUUUCUCGCUACUGAAAAUAUAUAAAAGAGUUCUAAUUAAUUGGCUUAAGAUAAAAAGCACUUGAAUCUAAUACUUUAUCAGGAAAAAAGAAAAGACUAGUUGAAUGCUUUCUGAAGUUUAUGUAACAAGUAAAAUCUUUAAUAAAUAAGCUAGCUUUAAAAUUAUUGGUAAAGUAAUAUUAGACAUGUCUUAAAAAUUGCCAGCAUGCAUUUUUGUUUGCAUUUAUUAAUCAAGCAAUUUCAUGCUUAUCCCUGUCAAAUACCAUAAGGUGUCAAAAUUUGCCAUGGAGUUACAAAACUGUAAUAGAAUGAUCUUUGCUUGUAUAAUCUUUAAUAAAUAAGACAUUGAUAUUGGUUUAAUAAAAAUAGUCACAUCUUGAAUUUAGUGAGAUUACUGUAACUUCUAAUUUUGUGGUUUUGGUGGUCUAGUCCACAGGCAGUAAGAUUUAGUUUGAGAAUGAACUGUUAUAAUCUUUGUUUCAAAGGUAAACUAUAAACUAUGUUCCUCUCAACGUCUGUUCAGCCUGUGCCCAGGAUUGAACAAGAACAGUUUGGAGGUUAGAAGCAAGAUGGAGUCAAUUAGGUCAGAUCUUUUUCACUGUCUCAGUUAUAAUUUUGCAAUGGCAGUUCCAUAACUUUAAAUGAUGACUAUUGCAGUUUUCAUAAAUAAUCUAGGUAAACAAUUCCUUUUUAAAAAGGUGAACAAUUGUCAUCUAAUUCAAUGCUUAUUUAAAGAUUAUGUAUAAGACAAGUUAAAAGGAACCAGGAAAUCAGAGAGAUGUAAAGAAAGGUAUAAAAAUAAAGAGGAUAAAGAGGGUUCUUUUUGGUAAGGAAGCUUAAAGAGAAAUAAUUUCAUAUGAGAAAAGAUCUUGUAUGGUAAAUUUAGACCUAAAAUAAAAUGAUUGUUUAAGAAAGAUGGAUGUUCAAAACAAACCAGAAAGUCCAAGCAUAUCAUGAACAGUCUGUAAAAGUCAUAAUAAGAGGAUUAAAAAAAAAACCAACAAACUUUUAUAUGGUCAAGUUGUCUGUAAUUAAAAGGAAAUUAUAAUAGUCUUCCUGAAGAUUGGGCUUCAUGUAAAAAAAAAAAAGCAAUGAUAAACAAAAUAGUUAGAGCGAUGAAAUUUUCUUAAGGGAUUGAUUUACUCUUAUUAAAUUAUAAGAGAUUUUAAUUUUUUUAACCCAAAGUUCAACUGUUUACUCGCUGUUUUCUCUCCCCUUCAACUCGUUUGCAGCUCAUAUAAGUUAUUUUCCUUAAAUUCUAUUUGUUAUGGUCUGAUGCUAACAAUGUUUUCUAAAAGUCUAAAGAAAAUGUUUUCUUCCAAAGUAAUAUUCUGUGCAGUGUAGAAGGUCUUUUCUUUUGCCUUUGGGUAAUUGACCUAACAGAUUUUAUGGCUUAUUGAAACAAUGCUAUGCUGUUAUUAUUAAUUUUUGAUUUGCUCAGGAAAAAGUAUCUGAGAUAAUUUUUUAAAAUUAAGGUUAUUACAUCCAUGUAUAUUUCUGUAGGUGCUUUGAAAGUACCUGUGACAUUAAGUUACAGGCCUUUGACUCCUGGGUCUAAAAAGGACACCAAGGUCUGCUAAAUCUUAAGCACUGACAGCAAUUAAAACCUCAUCUUCAGGCCUGGUAGAAGAUGCCAAUCAAAAUAAACUGCAUUCCUGAGACAUAAGGCCAGAAGUAAAAGCUAUUCAACUCCUCAAGGCUCAGGAACUACCACAGAAGAGGUCUUCAAAAGAUUGUUUUCAGUUUUUUUUUCUUCUUCUUUCCCCCAUUUUUCCUAAUUUGGAGUCACUGAAAACUCAUCUGUGCUUUUGUAAAGCCCUGCGAACUGGAGCUAGAGAAUUUAAACUUCAGAAGAAAAUACCAGCAACCUGUUUACAUACAUAAGCCACUUUCAUACCUGCCUACUGAUGUAUGGACUUCAGAGUAAUGUGGCCCAUAUUGAUUUUCCAGGAUUGUUCUUUUGUUUAUUUUUGUUUUUCUCCCUUCCUCCCCCUAUUUUCUCUUCAUAGGACAUGAAACUUCACAACCUGCUAAAAAUGAACUUUCCUAAUAACUCAGGAAUUAUCUUUCUAGGAAUAAACAAUCCUAGCCAUGAGAUAUCAGAUGAAACUUGAGACCAAAGACUGACUUUCUUCAAAAAGGCUUUCUCAAAAAGAUUUUUAAGAAAAGGGGGGAAAUUUGAAAGGAAAAUAAACCUUGGGGCCCUGAAAUCACUAAGGUAAAGGGGAAAGUCAAGCUGGGAACUGCUUAGGGCAAACCUGCCUCCCAUUCUAUUCACAGUCACCCCUCUGCUCACUGAGUUAAAUGCAUAUCUGAUUGCCUCCUUUGGAAAGGCUAAUCAGAAACUCUAAAGAAAGCAACCAUUUGUCUCUUAUCUACCUAUGACCUGGAAGCCCCUCCCCGCUUAGACUUGUCCCGCCUUUUCCGGACGGAACCACUGUUCAUCUUACAUAUGUUGAUUGAUGUCUCAUGUCUCCCUAAAAUGUAUAAAACCAAGCUGUGCUCUGACCACUUUGGGCACAUGUCUUCAGAACCUCCUGAGGCUGUGUCACAGGUGUACAUCCCCAACCUUGGCAAAAUAAACUUUCUAAAUAAACUGAGACCUGUCUCCGAUUUUGGGGGUUCACAAGGCCAUACUGACUUGUCCCCUGUGUGAAGCCCAGCAGGAUCCUUUCACAGCAAGCUCUUUUCACUUGAACCUUUGUGCAUCAGUGCCUAACUCUUUCACAAGAUAAGGGGUCCUACAGAAUCGAAGCAGACCCACCAGAGGGUUACAAGUUCCUGAUACCUAGUACAACCUGGGAAAGAGAGCAAAAGCCCUUUAUUCCUGAUGCAGCUUCCCCAAUCUCUAGCCAAUUUGCACCA
rnacentral:lncRNA from 1 species